CCGCCCCAAAGCUCCCUCCAUGGCCUCCUGCAGGGCUUGAGGUGGUCAGGCUCCUCACAGUGCUGCCCCACGCAGUGCCAGGGCAGUGCCACACCUGUAAUCUGCGGCGCCAUGCCCGGACUGAGGGCGCCGCUGGACUGUUGUGCCGAUACGAAGGCAUGACUCUCCAACGGGUCACCUGUACAGCAAGAGCAAGAGCAGGACCGCCAGCCCGCCUCGGCCCCUCAGCCCGCCCCAAGGCUCCCUCCAUGGCCUCCUGCAGGGCUUGAGGUGGUCAGGCUCCCCACAGUGCUGCCCCUCGCAGUGCCAGGGCAGUGCCACACCUGUAAGCUGCGGCGCCAUGCCCGGUUUGAGGGCGCCGCUGGCCUGUUGUGCCGAUACGAAGGCAUGACUCUCCAACGGGUCACCUGUACAGCAAGAGCAAGAGCAAGACCGCCAGCCCGCCUCGGCACCUCAGCCCGCCCCAAAGCUCCCUCCAUGGCCUCCUGCAGGGCUUGAGGUGGUCAGGCUCCUCACAGUGCUGCCCCACGCAGUGCCAGGGCAGUGCCACACCUGUAAUCUGCGGCGCCAUGCCCGGUCUGAGGGCGCCGCUGGACUGUUGUGCCGAUACGAAGGCAUGACUCUCCAACGGCUCACCUGUACAGCAAGAGCAAGAGCAAGACCGCCAGCCCGCCUUGGCCCCUCAGCCCGCCCCAAGGCUCCCUCUAUGGCCUCCUGCAGGGCUUGAGGUGGUCAGGCUCCCCACAGUGCUGUCCCUCGCAGUGCCAGGGCAGUGCCACACCUGUAAGCUGCGGCGCCAUGCCCGGUUUGAGGGCGCCGCUGGCCUGUUGUGCCGAUACGAAGGCAUGACUCUCCAACGGGUCACCUGUACAGCAAGAGCAAGAGCAAGACCGACAGCCCGCCUCGGCACCUCAGCCCGCCCCAAGGCUCCCUCCAUGGCCUCCUGCAGGGCUUGAGGUGUUCAGGCUCCCCACACUGCUGCCCCACGCAGUGCCAGGGCAGUGCAACACCUGUAAUCUGCGGCGCCAUGCCCGGUCUGAGGGCGCCGCUGGACUGGAGUUGCCGGAGCCAGUGUUGACGUCGGACAUGAUGCCACACUUUGAGGACGUAGCGAUCAUUCCUAACCCCGGGGAGCGCGCCGAGGCCAUGCGCCAGCUGAUCAACCGCCUGCCAACCGCCAACCGCCUGCUGCUACAAUACAUGUUCAAGCAUAUGGGACACAUCAUUGCAAGGCAUCUUGUCAGCCGUCCCAGCCUCUCGUCACCCUAUCCCCGCUGGACUCUGGGUAAAGACGUGACCAACCCCCAGCCUCCAGCCUCUUGUCACACCUCCAAGCCUUUCCCCGCUGGACAUUGCUUCGAGACGUGAUGAACAACAACAGCCUCCACCAUUUGCCACACCUCCGAGCCUCUCUCCUCGUCAUUUGCCCGGUGGACCCUGGACGAGGAGGACGUGAGGAAGAGGAGGUGAAGAUGAAGACGAGGAAUAAGUGUUGAGUGUUGGCUU